rnacentral:tRNA from 1 species
GGUGGCUCACUGGUAGAGCGCUUGCCUUGCAUGUAUGAGCCCUGGGUUCGAAUCCUCAGCACCA